AACCCCCAGUCCUUGAGAACAGGACCUUAUUAGGAAAUAAAUUGUGGUCGAUGUAAAUAUUUAAGAUGAGGUCACCCUGGGAUAGGGUGGGCCUUCAAUCCAACAUGACUGGUGUCCCUAUAAAAAGGGGAAAUUUGAACACAGACAUGCGAACAGGGAGAACGCCACAGCCACAUGGUGGCUGGAGUUAGGCUGCCACAAGCCUGGGAACUACCAGAAGCCAGGAGAGAGAGGCCUGGCAGAGAGGCUCCCCUAGUGCCACAGAGGGUCAACCCCUGGAUUGUGGACCUCUGGCCUCCAGAACCGUGAGACAAAGCAUCUCUGUUGUUGACGCUGCCUGAUUGGUGAUCCUUCCUCCUGGCAGCCCUAGGAAGGUGACACACCUGCUGUGGGACUUGGCCUGACGUCUCCUUGCCUGUGUGGCCUCCCUCCCUCUGCUCUCAGGGACGCUGGCUAACUCCUCCCAUUCACCCAAAUCCUUCUCAUGUAGGGUCGGCUUCUGGAGAAUCCCACUUAUAUUAGUGGGUUUUACGGAGUUUUUUGGAAAACUGGCCAGGAGCAGACAGAGAAAACGGAAACGAGCAAAUGGGCCAAGGGUGGCCUGGACCCACCUAAAGAAAAACAGCCCCCACUCAGCUCCACCACAGGGGAGGUAGGCUCAUCCUCGCCUGACCAUUAAGUUUCUCAAGAGAAACCAGAAAUGAUUUCCAAAAAAAAAGAGUGACAUCUGCUUUUUCAAUGUUAGCAAUGAACUCUGGCAUUUGCUUGCUGCUGCUUUUUGACCACUCAGCUGGGUUGAGCCGAUGGCACCAGCUUCCUGAUCCCUCUGGACCGGGGCCAACACUGUGUCCAGACAUCGCUGCCCUUUCUCCUCAGCAGAGCGUUUCCCCUACCCUUGACCCACAGGAUGAAGAGCCAAACGUCUGCGUGCCUUGGAGCCCAGCGAGGUCCAGCCUGGCUGACCCCUCUCACUGCCCCCGGCCAGACUCUGGGCUCCGGAGUUCAGCUGUGUUAGUCCAAUCCAAGCCUCUGCCUUCUGGUCCACGGCGCCCGGGGGCCUGUCCGGGGAGGAGAGUGAUGCACGGUCCUCCGUUCUGGCUGCCAUUUGUCACAGGUACGUGCAGGUAGGAAACAGCCGAUGGCACUGGAUGUGCAGCUCCUGUUCCCCAUUUAGGCGGGUGUCCCUUGGCAGGAGGAACGGCUCUGGCAUGAGGCUCAGGUCCUAUGUGCUACCAGGCCUGCAGGGGCUCCUUGAGUUCCCCUGCUGAUGACCACAGCCAGAGUCACCAGGGCCACUGCUUCCUGAGCCCCAAUUCUGAGAAGCCUUUCACACCUGUUUUCUCUAGUCCUUGCAUCAUCCCUGCCAGGUGAGGCGAGGUGUGGUCCCAUUUUACAGGUGAGGAGACUGAGCAGAGAGGUGAAGCUGCCUGCCCAAGGCCACACAGCCAGUGAGGAGGGGAGCCUCGUGCCCAGCCAG
rnacentral:lncRNA from 1 species